GGUCUCACUGUGUAGCAGAGGAUGACCUUGGAUGUAGGAUCCUCUUACCACCACCCUCCAGGGCGCUGGGAUUAUAGGCCUGUGCCACCACACCCAGCUCUAGGCA